rnacentral:rRNA from 1 species
GAUGAACGCUGGCGGCGUGCCUAAUACAUGCAAGUCGAGCGAACGGACGAGAAGCUUGCUUCUCUGAUGUUAGCGGCGGACGGGUGAGUAACACGUGGAUAACCUACCUAUAAGGCUGGGAUAACUUCGGGAAACCGGAGCUAAUACCGGAUGAUAUUUUGAACCGCAUGGUUCAAAAGUGAAAGACGGUCUUGCUGUCACUUAUAGAUGGAUCCGCGCUGCAUUAGCUAGUUGGUAAGGUAACGGCUUACCAAGGCAACGAUGCAUAGCCGACCUGAGAGGGUGAUCGGCCACACUGGAACUGAGACACGGUCCAGACUCCUACGGGAGGCAGCAGUAGGGAAUCUUCCGCAAUGGGCGAAAGCCUGACGGAGCAACGCCGCGUGAGUGAUGAAGGUCUUCGGAUCGUAAAACUCUGUUAUUAGGGAAGAACAUAUGUGUAAGUAACUGUGCACAUCUUGACGGUACCUAAUCAGAAAGCCACGGCUAACUACGUGCCAGCAGCCGCGGUAAUACGUAGGUGGCAAGCGUUAUCCGGAAUUAUUGGGCGUAAAGCGCGCGUAGGCGGUUUUUUAAGUCUGAUGUGAAAGCCCACGGCUCAACCGUGGAGGGUCAUUGGAAACUGGAAAACUUGAGUGCAGAAGAGGAAAGUGGAAUUCCAUGUGUAGCGGUGAAAUGCGCAGAGAUAUGGAGGAACACCAGUGGCGAAGGCGACUUUCUGGUCUGUAACUGACGCUGAUGUGCGAAAGCGUGGGGAUCAAACAGGAUUAGAUACCCUGGUAGUCCACGCCGUAAACGAUGAGUGCUAAGUGUUAGGGGGUUUCCGCCCCUUAGUGCUGCAGCUAACGCAUUAAGCACUCCGCCUGGGGAGUACGACCGCAAGGUUGAAACUCAAAGGAAUUGACGGGGACCCGCACAAGCGGUGAAGCAUGUGGUUUAAUUCGAAGCAACGCGAAGAACCUUACCAAAUCUUGACAUCCUUUGACAACUCUAGAGAUAGAGCCUUCCCCUUCGGGGGACAAAGUGACAGGUGGUGCAUGGUUGUCGUCAGCUCGUGUCGUGAGAUGUUGGGUUAAGUCCCGCAACGAGCGCAACCCUUAAGCUUAGUUGCCAUCAUUAAGUUGGGCACUCUAAGUUGACUGCCGGUGACAAACCGGAGGAAGGUGGGGAUGACGUCAAAUCAUCAUGCCCCUUAUGAUUUGGGCUACACACGUGCUACAAUGGACAAUACAAAGGGCAGCGAAACCGCGAGGUCAAGCAAAUCCCAUAAAGUUGUUCUCAGUUCGGAUUGUAGUCUGCAACUCGACUACAUGAAGCUGGAAUCGCUAGUAAUCGUAGAUCAGCAUGCUACGGUGAAUACGUUCCCGGGUCU